CCUACGGGGGGCAGCAGUGAGGAAUAUUGGUCAAUGGACGAGAGUCUGAACCAGCCAAGUAGCGUGAAGGAUGACUGCCCUAUGGGUUGUAAACUUCUUUUAUAUGGGAAUAAAAUGUUCCACGUGUGGGAUUUUGUAUGUACCAUAUGAAUAAGGAUCGGCUAACUCCGUGCCAGCAGCCGCGGUAAUACGGAGGAUCCGAGCGUUAUCCGGAUUUAUUGGGUUUAAGGGGAGCGUAGGUGGAUUGUUAAGUCAGUUGUGAAAGUUUGCGGCUCAACCGUAAAAUUGCAUUUGAAACUGGCAGUCUUGAGUACAGUAGAGGUGGGCGGAAUUCGUGGUGUAGCGGUGAAAUGCUUAGAUAUCACGAAGAACUCCGAUUGCGAAGGCAGUUCACUGGACUGCAACUGACACUGAGGCUCGAAAGUGUGGGUAUCAAACAGGAUUAGAUACCCCUGUAGUC
rnacentral:rRNA from 1 species